AUACACUUAGAUUGUGAGUCUCCACGGGACAAUGCUGUUGUAACAAAAAAGAGUUCAGAGCUCUCAAACUCUUGAGUUUACAGUGGGGGAAACCUUAAAUAGGAAUUACCUAGUAUUCUAGAUGAGUGUGGCACUAUUGAAAGGGAAACUCACUAGAAAGAUCCUUCCGGUUCAAUAGUUGCAAUGCACCUGAGUGACUGGAAGGGCUGGAGCCAGGAUCUACCCCUUUCCAGGACUCAUUUAAGGGAUGGCAGUGGAUGCAAAGGUAUCUUUCUGGAGAUCCCUGCAUAUGUGAGGCCUUCUGAAGGGAAAGUUCAAGCCCACGUUUCCAAUCACAGUAUAGCUCCUAACCACUAGAUUGCAAGCUACAGAUCUCAAGACCAGCCAAAGACCGUUUAAUCUAGCAGCGAAGAUUUUAAUUGCUUCCAACCAAGAAGGGAGCUGCACUCCAGGCUUCUCCAUCUGUACAAAUGCUCAAAUCAGUUGGCUGCUCCACAAACACUGGACACAACCUCUGGCCUUUCCCAAAACAAACCCCGAACCUUGGUCAGUCCAUUGAGGGAUACUCAGAGGUCUCUCCUUCUGACCAUGGGCUUGAGAUGGAGUCACUACAGCUGCAGGCUGGAGCAUGCACAGAUUUGGACUUGUUGCUCCCUAUAGUUCCUUUACAACUUGGGAUACUCCAUGAUUCAACCUGGUCAGGGUGGGAAAGCCUUCACUGAGCUCACCACUUGCUACCACCAAGCUCCUGUCCUUGGGGAUUUCACUCACCAUCCCAAAGGUAUUUCACGCAAAAUAAGUAGCCCUCAAAUAAACUGCAUUUCUUGCAAUGCUUCUCUAUUUUUCAUUUUGAUUUUUUCUUAGUUAUUUAAAUAGUCUAUUACUAUAGCAACUACUGUCUUACUAUCUUUAAUAUAUUAAAGUUCAUUUUAGCAUAUGAGGCAAGGGAAUAUUAUUAUCUUACUUUACAGAGGUAGGAAGGAUGUAUAAAUACUAAAUGGGUGUUUACAUAGAGAGUCAAAGUUAGAAUUUCAGCAUAAAAGGUGUACCCAGUUUAAUUUAGAGCUUACUGGUAGUAAGAGGAGCAAAGACAGGCAACCUCAUGUGCAGCUGAGUGCCUGCAAUUCUCUGCUCAUAGUGAAACCCACCAUGUUGUCUGCCCCCCCAGUCUGCUGUCCAUAUGUUGGACAGGAAAAAAAUAUAUAUUUAUCCUGGGCUAUCAGGGGGCCAGGCAUGGCGGAUAUAAGCUUUCUUUUCAUGAGUUGGAUUCUUGGUCCUUAUGCUUCUGUAUACAGAAGCCCAGUCCUAGGCAUAGCUUGAACAGCAUCACUCAGCUGAGAGCCCUGGUCCCAGAGCCUCACUCCAUCCCACUCCUGGUUUAGUGCUGUGUGGAGCAGGUGAGCCCUCUAUCACAAAGUUUUUAUAUGUGUGUUAUACAGUACUGCACAAUUUGAGACGUGCCACUUCUUGAAGUCAACAGUAUUUAACUGACAAGGCACAUGAACUGACGGCACUUAAUUAGCAUUGCUGGCACAUCACUGCUAUAAAGCAGAGUGGCAAAUGAGGUCGCUCCUUCACGUGAAGAAAUGUGUUGUAUUAUUUCAAUACUCAUUUUGAUCUUUAAUUUAUUUGCUUCAUUUAAAAAAAAAAUCACUGACAGAGAUGUUGAUGCAGAACUGCUGCUAAGGUUAGUGCUCUGAGGCUUAUCAAAGGAAGACAUUUGAAAAGUAAGCUGUGUUUUGAAAAAGAAAGGAAAAUCAGAAGUCAGGUACAACACCAGGGUAUUUUUUCUUAGAACCCUAUCUGAAAAUUAUUCUCAAAGUUUUAAUAGCAGCUGCUACUUCAAAUAGAUUUCCAGUGUCUUGACAUUUCAAUUAAGAAGUUAGAUGAACUAAGUUUAGGCUUAGAAUUAACUUAAAUAGUGAGUCAGUAACUAUCAAAUACUGCAUAUAAUCAGGGAAUCUGGGGCUAGUAUGAGUAGAAGUUUGCUGCUCAUACAGACUGCAAAUAUGUAAUAAAGGGUGUGAGCACAGUCUACCGAAGUCACCUGAAAUCUCCUUCCUUCAACAAGAUUCAGUGGAAUAUAUUGCAUGAAAUCAGGCAAUGCCUGCCCAAGCCCUGAACUAGAAUCUGCACAGAGAACUGCCCUUUGCUGGGAAAUCAUUUUCUGAAGUCUCUGGUUCUGGUUUUGAAAUGCUCUGCUGCUAGUCAUGAUGGAUACAAAGAAGGGAUUGAAAAAGCAACCUGAGGGUAAGAUGGCACAUGAACAUGUCCAGGAGUUUUCAGAAAGUCAGAAGCAGUGUUUGUGAAAAGCAGGGAUGUUCCUUGGGAAGGCUGUUUAUAUGCCAAACCCUGGGGUAACGGCAGGCAGAGAACUGAAUGUGUGAAGACCUAAACAAACAGUGAAUUUCAAACCAAUAUAAAAGUACAUAACAUAACAGUUACUGUAAUGGAAUGCUGUUUUCUUUUUCCAUUCUACAUCCCCUUUGGUCAUAUUCCUGUUAUUAUUAGACUAAGAAGAUGAAAUUUCAUUAAUUUCUCUGCCCCAGUAACUAAUCUAUAACCUGAACUCCUGACACAUACAGGAUCUAAACUCAUGUAUAAAAAUAAAUGCUUAUUAGUGGGUUUCAACAAACAAACAAAAAUAAUACAAUGUGCCGGGAUUUUUUUUAUUAUUAUUUUUUGUUUGUUUUUCAAUGUUGCAAGGAAUAGAAAACUGUAAGUAGUGAAGGAGAGUCUCUGCUGACAGAGGAAAAGCCUACGGAUGUGCCUUGCAUUGCAGCAUGUCGGCAACCUCAAUACCUGUGCUGGUUUUCCCAAGGGGAGAACUGAACACCUGGAAAGGAGAACAGGCUCCUGAGGCUGUGCAAAUGGCAGCUGAUUUCUUUUGGUGUUUUUAAAAGAUAUCGUCCAAGGGAGACUUUAUUGGUAUGUCUGGGGACUUUUUUGAGUUUUUGACAUAGUCAGAAGCAGUUUGAAAGAAGAAAUAGUAUAUAAAAUGCAACCUGACAAAGAGGUUUGAAGGGGAACUGCUGCUGGCAAAGAGUACAGCAUGAGCAGGACAGAGCAGCCACCAUCCUGCUCCCUGCCUCCCUCACCCUGAAUGCCAACACCCUCCCUGCCCCUGCCCAGCCCUUGCAGUUGUCCUUACACUGAUGCACUGCCUUGUCCACUGCACCCAUCCUUGGUGCUUAAUGUGCAGUGACAGGAGCUCUCAUUUUUGAAGGUCUAAAAGCCUUGCUUUCAGGAAUCAUGUGUAAAGCAUUUCUUUUAAAAGUGAAGGGAAAAAAAAAAAAGCAAACAACAUUUGUUGUUGUUUGUUGUUUUACUCUCAAGGCUAUUGAUAAAAGCUUAGAUAGAUGUGAGAGUAACUCGCUUACUGGUUCUGGAUGUGUUUAUUUUGAAUGGAAUAUAAAAUCCAUCCUCAAAUAUUUCAAGGCACAUUUUAUAACAGACAUUUGUCUACUGAAAUGAUUGUAAAAGGAAAAAUAAUGGAAUAAUCUUUUCUUUAUUUUUAAUCAGGUCUCUCUUCAAUCUAUAACAAUAUUCCAAUUAAUGACUUGACCUAUUAUAUCAUUCUGUUAUAUGCUAAUAGACUUAAUAUACUCCAUUUUCAAAAGUGCUUUCCAAGGUUAUUGUAUCAAUUAUUCUUAUUAAUACUCUUCUGAUGGUCCUAUGGUCUGGAUUGAGAUAAUUUAAGGCUUGUUAUCUCUGUAUCUCCUUAACCAUUUAAAAUCAGGCUAUGUAGAUGCUAUUUUUUUUGAAUGUUAUUACAGGCACGUUGAAUUGUGUGUUACCAAAACCCUUCUGCUAUAAUACUGUCAAAAGAAAGUAAUGCCAUGUUUAGCUGUAUGUUGAACAAACUAAUGGAUGCAAAAGAAAUUGUAAUGUGGUAAAUAAUCUUCUGUCUACUAUAAUUAAGGAUGUAGAUGAAAAGAGGAAGAUUACUUACAUACUAGCAUGAAAGGAAAUGACCGUGAAUGAAAAUAAAUUGUGGGCAGCCCUCCCCAACCAAAAGGACUGUUCCUCGGUCUCUCCUGCUGUCACCAGACAGCGAGAUAUGGGUAUCAUCAUGAAACCAAGCUUCUUAGAUUGCACCAUCGACCUACCAUCUCGUUAUGCUGCAUUAGCAAAUUAUUCUUCAUUCAGAUGUUGGAAAGUACUGAUGUGGCAUUUCCUUGGCUGAUGUGACCUGGUGUAGGUCUGUGGAUGUAUCAUGUUGUAUCAAAUUGUGGUAACAGAAUUUCAUGAAAAGUGAGAAAUAUUUAAAUGAUUCAAUACCUAACACUGUGUAACUACAAAAUGAGCUCCCUUCAUCCUCUCUGCCCUGCCUUUUAGGAGCGUUUGUAGGACAUUCGUUACCCGGAACCGUGGUCACAGCAAACACUGUCUUUCAUAGGAAAACUGACAGAUAGGUGGAGAAUAAUUUCAGGUGGGCAUAGGUCAGUAUGAGAUCUUUUCUGUGUAUUUGACAGAAUGUAUAUUGGAGAGUGGUGAAUGACCCAUCUUGUGUGCAAGCCACAAAGACUUUAUCAAUGUGGUGCCAAAACCAAACUGAAAUAAAAAUUGCAUCUCAUCUUUAUUAAUGGGUUUCUGCCACCUGCAACGAUAAUCUUUCUCUAGAAAGAGGCAGAGAUGGAGAACAUAAAACCUGGAGAAAGGGUCCAAAGUAAUCCCUUUCCCACCAUGCAGAGGAGCUAAAGAUGAGCUUGGUUCUAGUUUAUGCAUACUGUGUUAUAAAGCAGUGGAGGACAUAGGGACUUCUAUUGACAGAUGCAGGAGGUUGAAUAUGCUUCAUCCUCCUCUGACAUCUCACUUGGUCUGAUCUCAUCUCUAUAUUCUCUCCCAUACCUGUUCUCCAAGCUUCAGUCACGUGGGACUACUUUUCUGCAUUUUCUUGCUCUGCGGUUUCUGUACCGCUUCAAAAUCUCAGGUGAAAUAAACUUUUCUUCUGACUAUAUCUUUACAGUGUCCUUGAAACAAAGUUUGGAGUUUUGUUUCACUUGUUUUGUAUUGUUUUUCCUUUGGGAGCAUGUGGAUAUUUCUACAUAAAAUAAGAUUGGCUUUUUCCUAGUUUGUUUUGUUUUGCUUUCCUUUUUUUUUUUUUUUUUUAAAUAAUCUAUUUUAAAUGUAAAUAUUGUUGUUCAUGAGGAAAGCUGGAGAUCACUUAUACUGGCUAAAUGAAGAAUAUUUUUCCCUGAUGUCAGCAGAAAUAAAAAGAACAUUAGGGUAAGGCAGGCUAGAACUAACAAUCUAUAAAGAAAAUAUAAAAUAAAAUUCCAACCAUAUUGUUUCUGUAACUAUUUGAAUUUCUUGAGUACUUAGCAUUAGAAUAGCUUUUGGAACCAAAGGUAUGAAUUCCAUGAAAUAGGAAAUUAUUCAUAUUCAUAGGACUUCAAGGAUCCUGUCCAAUGUUGCUAAAUAUUCUGGAUGGAGAAAAAAAUCAAAUCCACUUUUGUGACAAUGUUUUGUAGUCAAAAUAAGCUUUCAUCUCACUAUGGACAUUACAACGUUCAGAAAAGGGGAAAUUUUCUUUCUAACACUUGCCAGAAAGAUGCAAGGGCGCUUCAGAAGGAAAAAUGAUGUUGCACAGAGAUAUUUUUUUUUCUAACUCUAAUAUGUGGUGGACUAAUUUAAUGAGAAGCGAACUUCUUAUAAAGUCACCAUGACACGUCUGACUGUGGAUGCUCUUGUUAUCUAUACAGAGCCUUAUUUUUAAUGACUAAUGUUGAGUUCCGAAGAUUAAUAUUGUGGGAGGAGGGUAGGAGUGAAGAAGUACAAUUUUAUGUUUUCUUAUGUGUUUGAAAGGUGAAAGCUUUCAGUUUUAUUGAAUGUUUUAUCCCACUUACAUUAGGAAAGUUUAUAACACCUCAGAGUUUACCUCUUGAUAAGUAAUAUACAGCACAUAGGAUUUUAUUUAUGCUUCCUUUUAUCGCUUUGGCCAAAGAGAGGACAUCUUAUUAUUUCCUAUCCAUCCAAAUACACCAACAAAUUUAUCUAGAGUUCUCUCUUCUUUUAUAGUUUGUCUUUUUGCUCAGUAUAACCCCAUAUUUGUGUUACACGUUCUAUGAAUCAACCAAAAUUGAAGACACAAUCACAGGUGAGGUCAUAACAUUGAGAAAAUUUGUUGAUACUGUAACCUCUCCAGUAGAAAAAAAAUUGGAGAAAUACAUUCUAGCAAUGUUUUGUUGUUUUUUUUUUUUUACCUUUCGUUCUACCAUUAUCACCAUUAUCACCAUCUUGUUAUACAUCCUACUAUACAUCUCAAAAAAUAAGAGAAAAUGGAUUAAAAUGGAUAUGUUUACUUUUACUAGCAACUGUACUGCUUUUAAGCAGUGCUUUCUGGUUAAGAGGGGCAGCCUUCAUGGUUCUUUUUGUUCUUUUGCAAUCAUAGCAUCAUCUGUGCUGAUAGACAUCCUGACUCUCAGAGACCUUAGGAGUAGAAAUACUGGCUCAUAAUCAUUCUGAAGCAAUCUAGAGGCCAAAGUGUAUUAUUCUGCAUUGGUACAAUAUUGCUUCACAGGAAGAAAUGUAGUAGUUUGAAUAGAUAGAAGUUCAGAUGAAGGCUAGCACUGAAUAUAUCUUAGUCAGGAAACCCAAGUGUGCAAACUGUAAGUUGUAGUUUCAUGAGCCGAUCUGGAGAACAAACAUCUUCUUUCAUUGUAAAGGAAAAACCUCAGCUCAUUUUUUUUUGUCAGUGUUGCCUCUUUCUUUUCUCCAGGUUUCCAGAUGUCCUACAGCAUGACCCCUCAUCGCUGCUUCCUGGAACAGCAACAUGCUACAGAAAUUGGGAUACAAAUCCUUUUUCUGCCUCUAAUUUCUCACAUUAGUUUGACCAACCAAACUUGUUUUUGAUUUAAAGCUGUCAACAAGCUUUGUCUGCUAACAUUGACUGUGUGAGGAUCCAGAAGCUAUCAUCUAAAUUUUUAUAUAUUUAGCAUCAGGUCUUCUAACCAUGCUAAAACUACACAAAGAGCCCAGCAACUUUCCCAGGAAAGUGAGCCUGUGCUAAACUACCAAAGUAGAGGUAUUUUGCUGCUAUUUUUCCACUCAGUCUAAUUUAUAAUUUUGUUUACUUUCUUGAUAUGAACACUCAAAUCUGAGGAGAAGAGACUGCAAACUGACUGCAAACACAUUCCUCUUUGGCAGAGUCAUCUCGGUAAUUUGUGCUGACUGUAUGGAUAUCCGGUAGUUAAUACAGUGAGGAAAAGUCUUAUUUUGUCAAAAGGGAAAGAAAGCUCUCUCUAUAUGGUAUUGGGUACAAAUAUGGGGUCUCCUUGAACAAUUCAGUUAGGAAGAAUUUCUGAGCUCAAGUGAAAAAUGCUUAUUUUCAGUUAUUCUGCUGUAGAUGUUAAACUAGUUUAUUGGGAAAAAGAAAAAAGAAAAGAAAAGAAAAAAAAGAAAAAAAAAAAAGUGGGUUUAUUUUUGUGUUACCUUCGGCUAAAUGCUCAGAAUUUAGCCACACUUCUCCAGUGUGCAUUUUUCCUGUUAAAAAACCAAGAUACUGUAAAUUAUUUUUUAAUGAUGCAGAAUGAGGCACUAGCACUGUAUUGGAAGGGGAGAUUUUAGCUCCCAUGCUACACAACUGGACAGGGAAAAUCACAAAUGAGCACAGAACUGCAGCCUGCCAACCUCAGGCAGUGAUUGCUGUCCUGGCCAGCAUUAGUUUGCUUCCGGUACGUGUCACUUAAAAGAUCUUUUCCAUAUAAAUCUAGAGAUAAGUAUAUUCAAUAUAUACAUAUACACAUACAUAUUUGUAUCUAUAUAUGUUUUAUGGCAAGGAGAAAAAGCAAUGUAGAAAAUAUUCAGUGUAAGUGGAAACCCUCCAGGAGUGCCAAGAAUGAGAUUGUUUGAAGGCAAGUCUGACAGCGCAGUGGAAAAAAAAAGAAAUCUAAGAGAUACUUUCAGCGUGAAUUAGUUAGCCUAAAGUCAACCCAAUUACUGUCUCUCCAGUGUUGAUUCUAAUUCCUUCUGGAUAUUUUUAUUCAUUUCCUUGAGCUUCCCUCAGGCUGAUUUCUGAGUUUUUAAGCUAAUUUUUAGGUUUGGAGUUGUUUGUUUUGGAAACUUCCGAAUAUUUGUAGUUUUCAUGUAGCAGAUAUCAUCACUUAAUGGACUAAACCCACAGUUCUCCAUUUCACACAAAAUGAAGGGAGAAGAAAAAUGUACAAACUACUUAUUUUAUAAGAACUGCCAAAUUAUGAAUUAUAUUUUUGGGUAAAAAUAGAAAGGCUUUUAAAACCAAAACUAAAGAAGCAGUAUGUAUGUGCUCAGGAUGGUUCUCAGUUUGGGGUUUUUCUUAAUGUUGUUAAAGCUUUCAAAGAAAAUGCAUGUAAAAUAACCCAAUAUUCCAUUUCAAAUCUGGUGAGUUUUAUGAAAAGUCACUGGUGUUUAUUGGAAAUAAACCUGAUACAAAACCAAA